CAGUCGCCACGGUAAUACGUAGGUGGCAAGCGUUGUCCGGAAUUAUUGGGCGUAAAGGGCGCGUAGGCGGACUGAUAAGUCAGGGGUGAAAUCCCAAGGUUCAACCUUGGAACUGCCUUUGAUACUGUUUGUCUUGAGUUCGAGAGAGGUAAGUGGAACUGCGAGUGUAGAGGUGAAAUUCGUAGAUAUUCGCAAGAACACCAGUGGCGAAGGCGGCUUACUGGCUCGAUACUGACGCUGAGGCGCGAAAGCGUGGGGAGCGAACAGGAUUAGAUACCCCGGUAGUCCCUGUCUCUUAUAC
rnacentral:rRNA from 1 species